rnacentral:lncRNA from 1 species
CUCUUUUGUGGUAUUUCUGGAUCCUUACCAAGGCAGUGAUGGUAUAUGCCUUCUCUCAAAGUAUGUAGUAUUUGUAGUAUAAGGCAUAGUGACAUUGUCUUCUCUCUCAUCCUACUCUAAUAAGGCUUUGAUAUCUGGAGCUCAUAGGUGGGAGAUAAAGUAUACAUACUUACAAGACAUUUAUUGUAUAGUCAAACCAUGGAUCCAAAAAACAAGUCAAUAAGUCAAAUCAAGAUGUGCAUGUGUGGCGAAUGAAUGGUGUCUGGUGAUGAUGGUGAUAACAAUGGUGAAAGUCUAAUUCUACUUUUGCUCUUUUGAGGGGAUGCAUACCUUCCUUGCUCUAUUGAAACUUUUGAGGAGAAUGAGAUGCUCUAUAUUUUUUUUCUUUCCUCUCAGGUGGGUAUUUUGUACCCCUAAUUCUACUGUCGGACACUUGUCCAUUUUUACCUCUCGUCUCACUUUUUCUUUUCUUUUGAGGUUCCGGGCACUUGCCCCUUUUUAUUUCCUCGUAUCUUUUUCUUCUCUUUUUUAGAGCACUCAUUUCCUGAAAUAAUAUAGCAAGUGGUAGUAACCAAGAUAACUUGAGCAUUGAUUUCACAGGGAAAAACAGAAAUAUUUUUGGCUAUUCUCUCCCGGAUUAGGAGUAGAAUAUUUUUGGGUGGUUCUGGAGAUGGAAAUGGGUGGAUAUAUGUGGAUGCGUACUUCCAUAGUAGAAGCAGAAUGUGUGAGUGAACGUGCAAGUGAAUCUUGAUUUUAACCACAUGACAGGCUCCUAAGGGUCUACACAGCUUGACCACACUCAAUGCUCAUAAGCAGUAAAAAGUAAAUAUGUGGCUCAAAGUCUAGCAGGCAUGUAUAUAUGGCUGUGGUAGGAAUUUAAACUCUCAUCAUACAGGAACUCGUCAUGUGUUAUUUUAACGAUUUUCAAAGAUAAAAUUCUCCAAAAUUAUAGCAUCUCUAGGAACAGAUAAGCAGUGGCUCAACCUUCCCAUAUCAUAUCCGUUAACAACUUAGACUUUAGAUCAAGUUCUCUUCCCACAAGUUCAGGUUUAGAGCAAGCUUUAAAUUAUAACAGUUAUGUCUAAACUUAAGAGAGAACUCAAAUUUGAAAAUUAGGCAGAGCAACUAUUCAUCAUAUCCAUGCUAGAGUUUUAUUAAGAUUCAGUUUAGCAUAGCCACUUUAUUUAUUUAUUAAUCACACUAAGCAAAAGAUAUACAUAUAUAUAAGCACAAAAUCUUUAUUUGGUUUUUCAUGGUUAUGUAUAUUUAUAUUUUAUUUAGUAUAGAGUAUAAAUGUAGAUAGAAAUACUUAGCGGGAUAAAUGGGGGUGCUCUCCCGCAAGGUGGAUUUUGACGUAAUUUCUUCUGAUGUAGCUAGCAGGUGGCAGAGGUGUAUUUGAAAGUCGGCAGCACCCUGACAGCGAUUAGAAUGUCCUCCGUCUGCUAGUCUUUUUUGAUCCUUAAAUUCUGUAGAGCUCAAAUAGACAACAAAGCUUUGUGGAACUGAUUGAGUGUUAGCAUAAAUAUCUAGCCUUUAUCAAGUUGAGCCUCCUCAAUAAAUGUUACUCUCUAUUUUUAUUUUUAUAGAGUAGAAAAAAAUAUUUAUUUUAUUUUUAUGCCACCAUAGUGAAUGUACUUAUGGGUUUUCUGCCACUCGUAUACUCACAUUGGGCUUACUAGUUUUAACAUUUUUAGUUUUCUUUUUAAGAUGAUAUGAAUAUGAUUAACUAAGCAAACUAUUUUAAAUAAUUGAAAGGCCAAGGAUAACUACCAAGUUUACCUCUUGGCAAGGCGUUUGGUGUUUUUAAGUCCUCCGAACGGGACUCUCCGUUUUCUCAGUCGUCCUGGGAUUCGUUGGAUGGCGUAGUCGGUGGUUCCAGCGGCACCUCCUCUUCGUGUAUUGUUAUCUUCUCUUUUCACACCUGACUCGGUGCUACGGUCUCUUCAGGAUAGUUCUGUUCAAGCUGUAUGUCUUCAGAUCUUACCACUUCUCCUUCGUAGUCUGCCCAUCCGUCCUUGAUGAUUUGCCUCCUCUGGUUACGGUUGCGUCGUCUUCUUCUUGUCCUGACCUGCUUAGAGUCUUCAACUAUAAAAUUAGGGUCAGUAAAAUAGUGGCGUACCUUCUCAGAGGGGAAGUGCAUGUGAACUUCUCUGGUUCCAAUGUAGAUGAUUGCUUUGAUAGUGUUGAGGAACGGUCUUCCAAGGAUGGUGCGUGGAUCAUAUUCGUCUUCUCCCAUGUCAAUGACCUGAAAAUCAUCUGGAGCUGAAUAUAUUGGUUGUAGGGGCAUGGUUCCAUGCAGGAGCUGAUAAGUGACUGCGGCCAUUAUGUUGUCGUCAGAUCCGGUGUCGUAGAGUGUCUUCUAAAAAGAGUAUCUGUUGGUUGUGCACUCGAUGCUUGGAACACCAGGGUCGUCCUUCUUGAUCAAGAAAGGUGGCUUGAGUCGACGAUCUUGACCUCCUCCGACAAGGAUCUAACGUUUUAAGUCUUCUGGACAAGACUUCUCACUAUCUUCAUUCUUUAGGUGCAUCAUUUGAUUAGGUGUGGACCUUGACGUCUGCACCUCUUGGUAUGGUGUCACCUAUGUUCUUCUUUGCCCAGCAGUUCGAAGUAUGGUGUUGGCAAAUUCUUGCUCAGUGUGUUUGUGCUCAUAGAUCCAGGUCCUUCACUUAGUGGAGUCUGGGAGUUGUAAAAUUCCUCCAUAUUUUGCUUGAAGUGUACCUGUUCAUAGAGACAAGGCAGAGAUCAAGUGUAUGGGCCCUGUUGGUGGAAAACACCAACAGAACCAGAAGUGUAAUUGUUCUUCUCUAACCUUAAGCAUAGUGAGCAAGACAAAGUUGAUGGAUCAUGAGUGUAGCAUUUAAAACAUUUGCCAAAUCAGAUUGCUUGACCUAAUGGAAAGAUAAUCUAUCUAUAUAUAUAUAUUAUGUUUAUAUCUUCCAAAGAUUGAAUGUGCAACAUUUUAGCUUAUAUGAUUAGGAGUGUGGGAUCACGAAGGUAGUACUAAGAACAAAUAUUAAAGGACUAAACAUGUUGAAUUAAUUGGGUUGGUUAAUUUGGAGCUACAAAUCAUACAUGUUUGUCUCUUUAUUUUAUGUGAAUGCCAGAACCAAGGUGAAACUUAUAAAAGUGAUAGCCAAGUACUUUAAGAUGUUACCUUAAUUGAAGAGUGAUUGUAUAGUAUCACCUUGUGGAAGCUUUCCUUUCUUAGCGGUUGUGUAUCGUGUUUGUGGCACCCUCCAUGGAUCAUCUCUUUAUGGUGAAUGAGCUAUGUCCCUCUUGUGCAAAUUGUUAAACUUCAUGUGUCACUUUCUUCAUCUCCAAUGUGAGUUUAUCUCAGGACUUCCCAGGUUGAUAUUGAAAGUUUUCCUGCAGGGGUUAGUCCCACAAAAUAUACCAAUGUCUACACAAGCAAUUUUUAGUUCGAUAACCGAACUAGACUCCAUGUCUAAUCAGAUUAAGGAAGGCUGUUUAACCUAAGCACCAUGCUUAAUUUAAAAGCCAAUAGAAGUAUGUGCAGUACUUCCAAACUAACACUUACUAGGAUAAACAAAGGUAGCGUGAUGGCAUUUAUAGAGAUCUACUUAAGUGAAGAUGAAGUAGUGUGAUUAGUAUUUAACAAAUUGAGCAUGUCUCAAAGGUAAGGACAACCAACAUAGCAACAUGGCAAAGGAUGUCUUAUGUGAAGUACUCCCCUAAGCUUGAAUUUUGCAAAAUUCAAGAUUGGAUGAAUUUAAUUCAAUGUUGCAUGUUGAUUGUACCUUGCGCUUGUCAUUCAUCCGGUCUUCUUGCUCCAAUCCUAGAAAGGUUAGUGACAAGAAUACCCGAAGGAAUAUUUCUACAAUUAUCUUAUAUGCUCAAUGCACAAGGUAAUGUUGCAAGUAAUUAGAAGUUCAUGUUACAAUCUGAUAAGUGCUUGUUUUAGGACACUAAGCUUGUCCUUGGGAAACCAUCAAUUAACUCGACGAGAUCUGCAAUAUUUAUUUUAGACAUAUGCAUCGACAACCGCUCUUUUAAAGUUUUUAUAAAUAGAAAAGAAAAGAGGGUUGGAGAUCUCAAAUGUGGUGAUAGCACAUGAAUUUUUAAUGCCCUCUAGCCAUUGAUGUUGCUCUUCUCGAUCCUCCUUCUUAUGUAUGGGAUGUCUAGAGAGAUUCAUAGGAUUAUCGGGAGGUUCAAGAGAAAGAGCAUAGUAGAGAUUAUUAGGCUCAAGGAUGGGUUGGAUAGCCGAAUCAUGGCAUUGGAAAGUUUGGAAAUCGGCUAUUGAAACUUCCUCUCCUUGUAUGGGAGAUGAUUCCUUCUCUAUCUCUAAGAUUUUUCUAUGAAGACUAGUGCAAGAAGGAUGUCUACGAAUGAAGACAUACCUUCCUUUACUAAUAGAUAAAGAAAGAAAGACUCUACCAAAGGUUAUAUGAUUAAGACCAAUGUGAAAAUAUCUAGGAAAAACAUGGUCUUGUAGGGCUAGGUCUAAACCAGAAUUUAUAGAAAGAUUAACAGAUUCCCUAUGUGUAGCUAAAAGUGCAUUAUCUUCUUGAUUAAAAGAUAGGACCUCAGCUAUAGAAAAGGGUUGGUUUUGACCUAUUGCAAUCAACUCCGGACACAGAUCAUAAUUAGGGGCAGGACGUGUUGACUCCCAUGGUCUAUGGCUGGUCUCCGAAGGUGCAAAGAAUUUAAUAAUAGUUAUGGAAUUUGAGAUAUCCAUAAAGAUAAAAAGAUAAAAGAAUAAAAGUAUAAAAGUAUAAUACAAGAUAAUAGCAAGACUCAAAGUUAUCUCAGCAAACCGUCUUUCUCCCCGGCAACGGCGCCAGAAAUGCUUGUUGAUAUUUGGUAACGCAAUAAGGAAACGAUCCGCAAGCGCACGGAUAUCGGUGAGCAUUUCACCCGGGAGGUUAUCCAGAGUUAUCGUAUUUAUAUUUUUACCACUGGGAGAAAGGGUGCAUCUUGCUAACCAAAUCUAUUGCUACUAUCCCUUUAGGCUACAAAGAAUGUCUCUCGAUGUGAGUGAUAAAUAGAGAAGACUGCAACCGUAGUCUCCUUCUAACCUUGGUAAGGAUGAUCUAUUGUUCUAAUGGGGAGGCUAACGGAAUCUAGACACCACAAAGGAUGUUCGACCCGCACCUAUAAACCUUAUCCUUCCUGCUAACGAGAUGUGAUCUACAAAGGUAGCUCGGAAAUGUCACGUUCCUCACUACUACCACGGUCCAGCUAGUCAGGGAAUAUCUAUGAGUACCCCAGCCUAAACACCACGUUUACGCCAGCAAUGAUUACUCUAAACUCUACGCGAAGAGAUUAAAGUAAACUCAUAAACCAUAAGAACAAUAAAACAAGAACUUACUAGAAUUUAGAAGUCGAAUUACUGAAGAAUCCUAGGAGCAAGCUUCGGGUUAGGAGAACUUGAUCCCGCAGGUACAAGCUUGGAGUAGACACCGACAGGCCGGUCUUCCUCCACUCUACACCUCCACUCUAUCUCUCUCAAUCUAGUAGAAACUAGAAGAUCUAUUUCUACCUUACAUUGAUUGCUAAGCCUAAAAAGAAAUAUUAAUUAGAGAAGAGGUUUUCCUUCGAGGGCACCCCUCAGUCUCUAUGAUAAUUUCUUCAUGUCUUCUCCAGAGGCCAGGGGGGCCUCGCUUAUAUAGUCCUCCCCUUCUAUGCGUUUUUGGGUCGAUAGCCGAGGUGGUACUAUGUUUUUCUUGGUCCAAUAGGUCGGUGGAAUAUCCCGAGCGAAGGAGUCCUGAAUUGGCUCCAGCAGGGGGGCGGGCGCCCAGGCUACCAGGGCGGGCGCCCUGGGCCUGGCCCAGCUUCGCCUCCGCUUCGGUCUCGUGGCUUCUGGAGUCUUCUAGAUGAUGUAAAAUUGCGCGGUGCGUUGAUAUCUCUAUGUAAUCCUGACAUGUGGGCCUUUCUUCCUUAUUUCCUGAUAACCCCCUGCAGAAAUAGAUAAACAACAAAACUCGUGGAAUUCUGUCAGAUCAAACCCUAAUUCUAGGUGUUGGUUGCAUAUUGGUCCUUUCUCUUGUUUAUUUGAUAAUUAAAAUUGAUACUUAAGAACCGUGAACAGUGUCUUGUAUGCUAUCCGGUAUGCCCAGAGUGCAUCGGGUAACUUGUCUUUCCACGCCGUUCCCAUUUCAUUUACUGUCUUCUGAAGAAUAUUCUUGAUUUGCUUGUUGGAAGUCUCUGCUUGGCCACUUGUCUGAGGUUGAUAGGGGGUAGCGACGUUGUGACGGAUUCCAUGUUUUGAUAGAUAUUGCUUGAAGCGUUUGUCGAUGAAGUGUGCUCCUCCAUCACUUAUCACUACUCUGGGGACUCCAAAUCUUGGAAAUAUAAUUUCUUCAAACAUCCUCUUUGAACUAAUGUUGUCGGCAUGCUUGCAAGGUAGUGCCUCUACCCACUUGGAGACAUAGUCAACUGCCACCAAGAUGUACUCACACUUCUUUGAUGAAGGAAGUGGUCCCAUGUAGUCUAUUCCCCAGACAUCAAAGAGCUCAAUCUGAAGGUUGUUGGUGAGUGGCAUUGCAUCCCUUGUAUUUAUAUUUCCGUGUCUUUGACAUGGCCCACAUCUUCUGAUAUAUUGCUUCGGGUCUUCAUACAUUGUAGGCCAGUAGAAUCCACACUACCAGAUCUUUGAAUGUGUACGGAAUGCUCCAUAGUGACCUCCAUAUGGUGAUGAAUGACAUAUGUCGAUGAUCUUCCAUCCUUCCUCAGUGGUCACACACCUCCUGAGUAAGCCAUCAGAGGAUACUUGGAAGAGGUAUGGCUCAUCCCUAAUAUGUGAAUGACUUUCUUGAAUAAGCUUCUUCUUGUUUGCUCCUGGUGGUACAUACCCUGAAACCAUAAAAUUAACAAUAUCUGCAUACCAGGGGUCAGACCUGUUAAUCCCGUAGAGCAUGUCGUCCCGGAGUGAAUCAUUGAUGGGGAUUUCCUGUGGACUCUUAAAAUACAUUCUAGACAAGUGAUCAGCAACAGAAUUUUCUACUCCAUUUUUAUCUUUUAUUUCUAAGUCAAAUUCUUGGAGUAAUAAGAUCCAUCUAAUCAGGCGAGGUUUAGCAUCUUUUUUAGUGAGCAAAUAUUUUAGUGCAUCAUGAUCAGUGUAAACAAUUAUUUUAGCUCCAACUAGAUAAGAUCUAAAUUCAUCAAUGGCAAACACAACAGCCAGAAGCUCUUUUUCAGUGGUUGCAUAAUUAAGUUGAGCUCCUGUCAAAGUUUUACUGGCAUAAGCAAUUGCAUGAUGCUUUUUAUUUUUAGUUUGUCCCAAAACUGCCCCCACAGCAUAAUCACUAGCAUCACACAUAAUUUCAAAAGGCAACGACCAAUCAGGGGGUGAAUGAUUGGUGCAGAGAUGAGUGCUUUCUUUAAUAAAUUAAAAGAUGCUAGACAUGCAUCAUCAAAUUCGAAAGGAGCAUCCUUGGCUAGCAAAAGAGUAAGUGGUCUAGCAAUAAAUGAAAAAUCUUUUAUGAAUCUACGAUAAAAACCAGCAUGGCCAAGAAAGCUUCGAAUUCCUUUUAUAUUCACAGGUGGAGGUAGUUGUUCAAUUACUUCAAUUUUAGCUUUGUCUACCUCCAUACCUCUUUCAGACACUAGGUGUCCCAGCACUAUUCAUUCUCUAACCGUAAAAUGACAUUUUUCCCAAUUAAGGACUAAGUGCUUUUCUUCACAUCUUUGCAAAACCUUGUCUAAGUUUUCAAGACAACUAUCAAAAGUUUUUCCAUAAACAGAGAAAUCAUCCAUGAAAACUUCCAUAGUCUGUUCAAUCAUAUCAAAAAAUAUAGACAUCAUGCAUCUUUGAAAAGAAGCUGGUGCAUUACAUAACCCAAAAGACAUUCUACGGUAAGCAUAAGUUCCAUAUGGGCAUGUAAAAGUGGUUUUGCUUUGAUCAUCCGGAUGGAUUGAAAUCGGAUGAUACCCUAAAUAUCCAUCUAAGAAACAGAAGAACGAAUGGUUUGCUAACCGCUCUAGCAUCUCAUCUAUGAAAGGUAAAGGAAAGUGAUCCUUUUUCGUGGCUUUGUUUAGUUUUCUAUAGUCUAUGCACAUCCGCCAUCCUGUGACGGUGCGUUGCGGAAUUAGCUCAUUCUUUCAUUCAUAAUAACAGUCAUGCCUCCCUUUUUAGGCACAACUUGUACUGGGCUUACCCACUCACUGUGAGGCACAGGAUAUAUAAUCCCUGCAUGCAGCAACUUUAUAACUUCCUUUUUAACUACCUCUCUCAUAGUGUUAUUAAGUCUACGUUGGGGUUCUCGAGAAGGUGAAAUAGAAGGAUCUAUUGGAAUACGAUGGGUACAAAUCAUAGGACUGAUUCCUGUAAGAUCUUGGAGUGAGUAGCCGAAAACUGAGUGAUGUUUCUCAAGAAUGGUCAUUAAUCGCAGAGUUUGCUCCUGAGUGAGUUUAUCGCUAAUGAUCACAGGAAACUCUGGAUUAUUGUUUAGGAAAGCAUAGAUAAGACCGGGUUGUAAAGUUUUAAGCUCUAUGGGGGGUCUAGGUGUUUCUGCAAACUCAUCUAAGGGUUCAGGUUCAGAAGGUUCGGCCUCUUCUUCUAUGAAGAAAGGAGUUUCGUCUUCUAAGUCUGAUUCAUCUAAAAGCUCAAGAGAUGCAGCCUUUACCUCCUCCAUAGGAUCAGGUAAAAGAUAUGACUCGGCCUUAUUAUUCAAGGAGUGUGAAAUUGUUAUUGGAAUUUAAAGGCUUUUCCAAAAGAAAUGUGUAGCUUUCCAGUAUGACCUUCAUAAAGAAGUCUUCUAAAAGGUUGUCCUAUCAACAGGUCGAAGUCCCAUGUAUCAAAGAUAUAGAAGUUCAAAUGAACUAUGGAGCCUUCUACCGUAAGAGGUAGGACAUUAAUAAUUCCAAGACUGGGGACUAAUCGUCCCGAAGAUUCCUUUAUGACCUUUGUUGUGGGGGCUAAGACAAGAUUUUUAAAUAGUUUAAGUGCAAAAGAUUCAGACAUGAUGUUGAUCCCCACAACAGGAUUAUAGAGAGCAUUAAAUCGAUUAGAAUUAUAAGCACAGCGUAUAGUUAUAGAGGGUGUGUCCAAACGGAUCACAUCAGAGGAAAGCUCUGAUUCCUCUAACCAUUCGCUACUCAUGACUGAGAUAAGCUCUCUCAAUUGAUAUUCACUUGGCAAAUAAAUGCUAAACUGGCCGUUUUGGGGUUUGUCAAUAGAAUGGUAGUUUGAAAUGUUUCCAAAAUCGGCAAAAAGAUCGGAUUCUAUAUCCAGCAUGAAGUCCGGUGGUGGAAUUUCUUCCUCUUGUGGCUCAGAACUUGGGAUAGCUAAAGUAGAUGAAGAAUUUGGCAGAGUGUCUACUUCGGCUUUGUAGGUUUCAUCAUGAAGGGUAUUAUCCAUCUCAGCUUCUAGGAUUCUAUCUAGGAUCACUCUAGCUUCAUCAGUAGGGAUGCGAAAGAAAGAACCUCUGGACAUUGUGUGUAGCAUUUGUUUGUGAUUUUUCUGAAGACCUCGAAAAAAGUGAAAUAGAAGAACAGGGUCUUCAAGAUUAAGGUAUGGACCAGAUUCUAAAAGAUCAAAAAACGUUUCUAGGAUUUUCCCAAAGUUUCAUUAUCUUUUUGUUUAAAAGAUAGGACUUCGAGUCUAAGGUCGGCUAUACGGUCGAGGGAAUAGAAAUCUAGACAAAAGUUGGCUCGUAAAACUCCCCAUUCACCUCGUUGUUGACUUACCUUCUGACUGUACCAUUGUCUAGCUUCUCCCCUUAAAGAAAAAGGAAAAAGCUUCCAACGUAAAGUUUUAUCAGAAAUACCUUCAAUACGAAGACAAUCACAUGUUUGCUCAAAAUCUCUAAUAUGAAGGUAAGGGUUUUUGUCUUCCUUUCCUGAAAAAGAUAAGUUUUGAAUCAUGGCAAUCAACCUAGAACUUAACUUAUACUGGGAUGUUUGGAUAGGCUGUGAUGACUCCCAUGGUAAAAGGUCAGUUACUGAAGGGAUUGCAGAUUAAUGGAUCGAUUUAGAAUUUUGGUUUUCCAUAAGGUACGAAUAAAGAAAAUAAACAAAGAAUAUAAAAGAUAAAAAAGAUAAAAGUAUAGAUACAAGCUAGUAGUAAGACUCAAGGAUAUCUUAGCAAAUCGUCUUUUGAUCCCCGGCAACGGCGCCAGAAAUGCUUGUUGAUAUUUGGGAACGCAAUAAGGAAUUGAUCCGCAAGCGCACGGAUAUCGGUGAGCACUUCACCUGGGAAAUUAUCCAGAGUAUCGUAUUUAUUUUUUUACCACUAGGAGAAAGAGUGCAUCUGACUAACCGGUCUAUUACUACUAACCCUUUAGGCAACAAAGAAUGUUCUCGAUGUGAGUGAUAAAUAGAGAAGACUGCAACCGUAGUCUCCUUCUAACCUUGGUAAGGAUGAUCUACUGUUCUAUUGGGGAGGCUAAUGGAAUCUAGACACCACAAAGGAUGUUCAACCUGCACCUAUAAACCCUAUCCUUCCUGCUAAUGAGAUAUGGUCUGCAAAGGUAACUCGGAAUUGUCACAUUCCUCACUACUACCACGGUCUAGCUAGUCAGGGAAUAUCUAUGAGUACCAUAGCCUAAACACCACGUUUACGCCAGCAAUGAUUACUCUAAACUCUACGCGAAGAGAUUAAAGUAAACUCAUAAACCAAAAGAACAAUAAAACAAGAACUUACUAGAAUUUAGAAAUCAAAAUACUAAAGAAUCAUAGGAGCAAGCCUCGGGUUAGGAGAACUUGAUCCCGCAGGUACAAGCUCGGAGUAGACACCGACAGGCCGGCCUUCCUCCAAUCUACACCUCCACUCUAUCUCUCUCAAUCUAGUAGAAACUAGAAGAUCUAUUUCUACUUACAUUGGUUGCUAAGCCUAAAAAGAAAUAUUAUUUAGAGAAGAGGUUUUCCUUCGAGGGCACCCCUCAAUCUCUAUGAUAACUUCUUGUCUUCUCCAGGGGCCAGGGGGUCUCCUUAUAUAGUCCUCCUCCUCUAUGCAUUUUUGGGUCGGUAGGCGAGGUGGUACUACGUUAUCUUUGAUCCAUUAGGUCGGUGGAACAUCGUGUGCGAAGAGAGUCCCGAACGGAGUACAGGAGGGGGCGGGCGCCCUGGGCCUGGCCCCUUUCGGCCUCUGCCUUCUUCCCAUGGCUUCUGGAGUCUUCUAGAUGGUAGAAAAUCGUGCGGUGCAUUGAUAUCUCUAUGUAAUCCCGACAUGUGGGCCUUUCUUCCUUAUUUCCUGAUAACCCCCUGCAGAAACAGAUAAACAACAAAACUCGUGGACUUCUGUCAGAUCAAACCCUAAUUCUAGGUGUUGAUUGCAUAUUGGUCCUUUCUCUUGUUUAUUUGCUAAUUAAAAUUGAUACUUAAGAAAUGUCAACAUAGGCGCCCAUAAGUCAAAAGUGCGCUUGGAUAGGAGUUUCGUCCUCCUAUUGCAGUCGACUUCCACCACACAAGACUGUUUGGAUACUAGUCUAGUUGAGUCAUUUACAUUGAUUAGGAUUAGAACACAGAAGUAGAGUUAGAUACAUUGGAGUCCUUACUCACUCGUUGUUCUCUCACCUUGCUAGCUCGCUACCAGUUAUCUUUACUUACCUUUAUCUGACUUAUCUAUUAUUCUAUCUUGCUACUCUUACCCCCCUGUUAGCACUAGUGAAAUUAGAUUGAGUAGACACAAACCACGGAUAUCCACCCAUAUAUUUAUUAGAGAGUCUUAGUCCGCUUCCCAUGAGCGAACUAUAAAUUACGUCACCGCAGAUACUCACCACGGUUGAAGUGCUACAGUGGUACCUGUGCGCUUGCAGAGUUACCCUUGGUACGUCUUGCGUCACCGCUAGAGUUUAGCGUUGCUUAGCAUUUCUGGAGCCAUUCCUCAAUGUAGCCAGACAACCUAUCCUAGUAACAACUCAGGCUUUCAUUUAAGCAGUGCUGGUUAGGCGCCACCAUUUCUAGAUACUUGUCACAUCUUACUCUAGCCAGUGUGCGUUAAGAUUUACCGACAAGCAUUUCUGGCGCCGUUGCCGGGGAAGCAUUGUUGACGGUCCUUAAGUACCAAAAAUAAUCAUCAAAUAAAUAAAGAAAAGGAUCCAAACGCAACCAACACCUAGAUUUAGGGUUUUAACUGACAGAAUUCCACGAGUUUUGGUGUUUGUCUAUUUCUGCAGGGGGUUAUCAGGAAAUAUGGAAGAAAGGCCCACACGUCGGGUUUACAUAGAGAUAUUAACGUGCCGCGCAAUUUUCUAUCAUCUAGAAGACUCCAGAAGCCACGGGAACGAACGGGAAGGUGAUCGGGCCCGGGGGCAGGGCGCCUGCCCUCCCCCCUAGGGCGCCCGCCCUGAGGUAGAGACCAAUCAGGUCCCGUCUCGCGGAUUACGCUCCACCGACCUAAAGGAUCAAGGAUAACCAUUCAAUCAAUGUCGGUUUGAUCCGACGGCCCACGUUCACCUGAGGGGACUAUAUAAGCAGACCCCCUGGCCCCUGGAGGAGAACAAGUUCAUCAUAGAGUUGAGAGGUGCCCUCGAAGGAUAACCUUUCCUCUAAAUAGACUUAGGGCUUAGCAUCCAAUGUGAGAGUAGACUAGAUCUACUAGAUUGAGAGAGAUAGAGUGGAAGUGUAGAUCGGAGGAAGCCCGGCCUGUCGGUGUCAACUUUGAGGUUGUACCUGAGGGAUCAAGUUCUCCUAACCCGAGGCUUGCUCCUAGGAUUCUUCAGUAAUUGGACUUCUAAAUUCUAGUAAGUUCUUGUUUUAUUGUUCUUUGGUUUAUGAGUUUACUUUAAUCUCUUCCGGUUGAGUUUAGAGUAAUCAUUGCUAACAUAAACGUGGUGUUUGGGCUAGGGUACUCAUAGAUAUCCCCUGACUAGCUGUACCGUGGUAGUAGCGAGGAACGUGACAUUUCCGAGUUACCUUUGCAGCCCACAUCUCGUUAGCAGUAUGGGUAGGGUUUAUAGGUGCGGGUCGAACAUCCUCUGUGGUGUCUAGAUUCCGUGAGCCUCCCCAAUAGAACAAUAGAUCAUCCUUACCAAGGUUAGAACGAGACUACGGUUGCAGUCUUCUCUAUACAUCGCUCACAUCGAAUCACAUCCUUCGUAGCCUAAAGGGUAGUAGCAAUAGAUUUGGUUAGUCAGAUGCACGCUUUCUCCAAGUGGUAAAAAUAUAAAUACGAUACUCUGGAUAACCUCUCGGGUGAAGUGCUCACCGAUAUCCGUGCGCUUGCAGAUUAUUUCCUGAUGGCGUUACCAAAUAUCAACAAGCAUCAUACUAGGAAUCUGUAAUAAGUUGGAAUCCUUGGUCUACUCUAAAAUCUGAGUAUCCAUUAGUGUUAGGGGCUUACCCUUCACUUGUCUUGUUUCUCGUUAUCGUGAAUCUAGACAGAGCAUGAGCGGUUUUCAAUUGCCGUGAAACUUUGUUGAAGAUCUUGAGCAAUUGUUGAGGAGAACCACAUGCCGUCAGGUUCCUCCUCAAAGGUUCAUCUCAGAGACCGAACCGCUUAUGGAAGGAAGUCCCACACUAGUUGUUGAGGCAGUCAUGGCCCAAAAGACCAUCGCUGAGUUCUCAUCCCCGUCAGCUGACUUUGUCGCUAUGGGCCUUAACCUAAACUUGGGCAAUGUGAACUUUGAGCUCAAGCCUACACUGAUCAACGUGGUGCAAGCCAAUCCAUUCUGUGGGAAGCCACAUGAGGAUGCCAAUGACGACCUUCAACACUUUUUGGAGGUGUUCAACACUUUCACCGUCAAGAACAUCACGGCAGACGCCAUCCGCCUUCGCCUUUUCCCAUUUUCACUCUUGGGGAAGGCGAAGCAGUCGUUCUAUGCCAACAAGAGUGAAGUGACAACUUGGGACAAGUGUGCCAAUGCUUUGCUCAAGAAGUUCUUCCCGGCGGGCAUGACCAGUGCCCUACGUGGGAAGAUUUUGAGCUUCAAGCAACAGUCCGACGAGACGAUUUCUGAAGCAUGGGAACAUCUCAAUGAGUACAUUCGCGCCUGUCCUCAUCAUGGGAUAGACGAAUGGCUCAUUAUUCAAGGUUUCUACCACAGGCUGACCAGCAUGGCCCGUAGUCACCUUGAUGCCUCAGCUGGAGCGGCAUUUUUGCAGAAAAAUGUCAAGGAUGCCAAGGACAUCACUGAAAAGAUGGUCAUCAACCAAGGAUGGAAUGAGGAGCGCCUCCAGCCCAAGAAGAGAGGUGUCUACGCCCUCAAUGAGCUGGACAUGCUCUCUGCCAUGAUGGUCCUCCUUAUGAAGAAAAUAGAGGAAUCUUCCUCUAAAAAGGGAAUUGAAGCCAUCCAAACACCUGCCGCUGUUCGUGCUGUGGAAACUAAUCCAUGGUGCGAGGUAUGCAAAGGAGAUGAACACUCGGGCAAUAACUGCCCCGAGACCCAGGAGGAGGUGAACUACAUCAACAACAACUUCAACAAUGGGAACCGGCCCCAACAACAACAAUGGAGUUCACGCCCCUUCUACCAAGGCCAAAGUAUGGGUUACUAUAAUAAUUCUGGUAAAUCCUUUGGUAACCAACCUUCUCUUAAGGAUCUUGUGCUAGGCCAAACUAAUAUUAAUGAUAGUAUCAAUAAGAGAAUUGUGGCUAAUGACAAGAUCCUAGAAAGCCUUAGUGAGAAAAUGGACAGCUUUAAUUCUGCCACUAAGAAUCAAUUGAGCUUUAAUAAAAUGUUAGAAACACAGUUAGCUCAAUUAGCAGUAGCUGUCCCAUCAUUUGAGCAAGGUAGGAUCCCAAGGAAACAUGAGGACCUGCUUGAGUCUGUUAAAAUAGUCUCUGAGGUAUGGUAAGCCUCCAGUCUGUUCAAAUUGGGGAUAUCUCCUUGAUCCCCCAUUCAUCACAAAGAAGGACGACCCAAGCAUGCCGACCAUCACUUGCGAGAUUGGACCACAACUCUUCCACAAUGUCUUUUGCGACCUUGGAUCAAGCGUCAACAUCAUGUCCAAGGUAAUUUAUGAAAAUCUAUUAGGGGCCGCUUUGCUCCCUACCUUUAUGAGAUUGCAGAUGGUGGACCAAAACAUUCGGUUCCUAGAGGGAGUUGCUAAGGACAUCUUGGUUAAAAUCCAAGAUGAAUAUGCCCCUGCCGAUUUCGUCAUCCUCGACAUGGGGUCAAGCAUCGACGUCCUCGUCAUCUUGGGACGGCCAUUACUGAACACGGUGAAUGCCAUCAUCUACGUCGGGUCUGGCCAGAUCCAUCUACAGUUUGUAGGUAAGAGGAUCAAAUGUCCUUUCAAUGGCUAUAAAACUAAUAUGCAGCCAAAGGACAUGAAAUCGGAGGAGAAACCUCACGGCAAAUCCUGCCAGAGGUACAACAAAGGCAAGUUGGCCAAAAAGGCCGAACAGAAGGAGGAACCCACCAAGCAACCAGAACAUCCCACAAAGGAAUGACAGGAGAAGAAGAUGCCAGCACGGUCCCCAUCUUUUUGACAAACUGAGGCGUCCAUAGAAUGAAACCCGACAAAGAGGUCCUGCUAUAUGGACCUAAAACAUGGAGCCCUCCGCUGACCAGGUAUGUUAGUAGUUAUCUCAUAUUUAUUUUCUGCAUUUAAAUUUUGCUUUUCAAUUGCAUGCUUACUUAAAAAAAUGCAUUUUUUAUUUCUACCAAAUAAUUUAGAUAUAAAUAAUAAAACUUGAGAAGUGAUUGGAGAAAAGGUGAGCUAGUGGGGCCACCAUUGCCAGGUUGGCCGACCUGGCUUUGUGGGUCCACCACCUCUCCCUCCACUCUGGCUAGAAGCAGGAAUCCUAGGAGGGGCAUUGGAUACCCUGGGUGUCCAAAAGGUAGGUCGACCGACCUGGCCUCGGUGCCACCAGGCAUCCUGCUACCUCCCAAUAAUGAUGUCAAAGGAUCCCAUGCUCAACACACUAGCUAGAAUUCGAGGUGAGAUGGUCCAAUGCUCAUGACUUUAGCUUGGGAUGCUACUUUAAGCACUUCGAUGCUUUAGGGAAUAUACCAAUGACCAAAGCUACCAUAGGGAGUAACAAUGCAUGAUUAAGGGUCCCCAUAGUCCAUGGGAAUCACUUUGGUGCUUGUCCUCUCUUUUGCUUUCUUCUUUUCUCUUUCACCAAACACUAAACAUAGGAAUCUGAGGCAACCUGCAGCAACUUUAGGUCAGCGCCACCACCAUCUUUAUCACACAACCCUACACAUCAUGAUUAAAGUGGUGGGGGGCAAAAGCCAUGGUCGGCCGACCAUGUUUUUGGCCCCACUUGGUGACUUUUUGCAAGAAUGAGGGUAGGUUCCCUAUCCAUAGUUGAAGGCAUGCUUCAAAGGGGGUGAACCGCGAUCAGCCGACCUGCCCUAUGGGGGUUCUUGCCAUACCCUUUCACCCCUAUAAAUAGCACCCCAAUGUGAACUCAAUUCCACACCACAACCAGCAGAAUCAUCUCGAGCUCACUUGGCCUUCUCUCUUCUCUUUAGUGUUCCAUGCCUUCUCAAGCUUAGUUUAGUAGUAGCUAUAUACCAAAAAAACCCAAAAACAUUUCCCUUCUGCAUAGUAGUAUAGUAGGAAGCUUGGUCUUGUUUGUUCACUUGUGAAGCUAGCAUAAAGAAAUUCAUCUCCACCAAGCUCACCAAGAAGAGGAAGGGUGAUGGCUCAUCCUCGAGCUCUCACCACUCCAAGAGUAGGAGCCAUGAGAGAGUGGAGGAGGAACAACUACACACACUUGUUCCCUUCAUCCCCACUGAUAGGAUGCUGGAGCCCCAUGACAACCUCUUUCUCACUCAUGACGAGCUAGGGAAGCUCUACACCCUUCGCACUUGCGGCUUCAACCACACCACUGUCUUUGAUGAGGAGCUCUAGGACCAAUCAGGGACGGACAGGAUGACGAGAGCACGGUCUCGUGCUGCUCAACAGCAAGCUGGUCCCUCUUAUGCUGCGCCAAAAGAGGAGGAUGAGGUGAACUCCUGAAAGCCCAAGUUUGGUUUUGGUAAUUAAUGACACCAAGUUGCUAAUGCCUUGUGUUUAAGUGUUUUGAGUUAGGCAUAGCAACACAUGUGAUGAAGGUGCAUGGUGGCAUGGAAAGGUGGCCACAUGAUCACAAAGGGAUGAAGCAUGAAGUGAAGAUCAUGGUGAUAGACGAGGAGCAAAGUUAUCAAGGCAAAGGUAUAAACAUAGGGUUUUACUUUUGCCGGUAUAAGAUGAGUAGAGAAGUGAUUGACCGGGUUUAGGAUAGAUAGCCGACUAUCAAGAGGGGAAAUCACGGUCAUCUCUCAAAUCAAGUGCUACUAGGCACCGGACGCUGGUCUCAGAGUCCGGUGUGCUUGACCCUACUAGGGUUGAGCACCGGACGCUCUCUGUGUGCGUCCGGUGGUGUGCGUCCGGUGUGAGGGCGUUUUGCAACCCUCUCUGCGCAUGAGUCCGGUGAGCACCAGAUGCAUCAGGUGUGGACUAGCUUAGCGUCCGGUGACCCUAUGGGUUGCGGAACUCUCAGCACAUGAGUCCGGUGUGCACCGGACGCGUCCGGUGUGGACUUGCAGAGCGUCCGGUGUGUGGCAGGUGACCGUUAGAAUCUGACACGCGGGAUUCAAGAAGGACACGUGGCCUACCUCUGAGCACCGGACGCUAGGGGUCGAGCGUCCGGUGAUCACAUGGUAGCGUCCGGUGCCCUCGAUUUCAGCCCAGUGAAAGUGGCUAACGGCUAGUUUCUUUGAGGGGCUUAUAAAUUGAGGCUGGCCAGCUUUGGGGGGUUCUCUCUUGCACAUGUUGAUGACUUGAGACAUACAUCGAGCUAGAGAACACUCCCUCCACUCAUCUCCUUGCUUGAUUGCUAAUCCUAGUGAGAUUGAGUGAGAUUCAAGUGCAUUGCUUUGAGAGUUGCAUUUAGUGGCACUUGAUUCUUGAGUUUGCUGCAGAUUUCUUGUUACUCUUAGGUGUUUCCCGACGCCCUAGAUGGCUUGGAGCAGCGGUGGUGUUGAGCUCGUGAUUGGAGAUUGUUUCGAGCCUCACCAAGUGACUUGUGAGGGGUUCUUGAGCCUUCCCCACGGGAGAUCACAAUUGGCUACUCUAGUGGAUUGCUCGUGGCUUGGAGGAUCCCCAUCUUGUGAGUGGAUGUGCGGCACCCGCUGAGGGUUUGGCUUUGGAUUGCCCAUUAGCUCGUGAUCCAUCAAGUGGGUGUAUCGCCACAAUGAGGAGUAGCUUGCCGGGAAGCAAGUAAACCUCAGUAAAAAAUCUUGUGUCAUCUCUUGCCGAGGUUUCUCUUGUGAUUGUGCACGUGAUUGAUUGGAUAUAUUUCUACUCUACAAUGUCAGUAUAACAAUCACUCCCCUCUCCUUUACCUUUGUGUAUACCUUGCUAGUUGUGUAGCUUGUUUAGCUUAGCUAUCUUGUUUAGGAGUGUAGCAAGCUUCUAGUUGUGCUUUCUUGUUGUAACUAGUGUUUAGCUUUCUUGCUAGACUUGUGUAGGUGGCUUGUAUAGCUUAGUUGUGCUAGUGCUAGAAUAGCUUCGCCUUUUGUUUUACUAAUCAACUUGUCUAGUUGAAGUUUGUAGAAUCUUUAAAUAGGCUAUUCACCCCCCUCUAGCCAUUUGGACCUUUCAAGUGGUAUCGGAGCCGAGGCACCGUUUAUUUGAGGCUUAACAACCUACGGUGAAGAAAUGGCUCUUAGUUUGCAUAUCAACAACACGAAGAAGGCACCUUACUUUGAUGGCACCAAUUAUGCUUAUUGGAAGGUCAAGAUGACCACACAUCUCAAGUCAAUCAAUAGAGUGGUUUGGAAGUUGACCGAAACAAAGUUUGAGGUUGCUAAUGAGAAUGCACCAACACCGGUUGAAGAAAAGAAGCUUCAAUGUAAUGACAUUGCAAUUAGUGCUCUUCAUGAAGCUCCUGAUGACGAGACCUUUGAGCAAAUCAAGAACAUUGUGAUUGCUCAUGAUGCAUGGGCAAAAUUAGAAGAAAUAUUUGAGGGCACAAAGGGAACCAGGACCGCCAAGGCAUACAUUCUCCAAGAAAAGUUCUCAAGCUUCAAGAUGCAAGAAGAUGAAAGUGUGUCGGAGAUGUUUCACCGGUUGCAAGUUAUAGUGAAUGAACUCAAGACACUUGGGAAAGAUGUGAAGGAUAGUCAAUUCUCUAUGAAGUUCUUGAGAAGCUUGCCCAAGAGAUUUGACACAUUGAUCACCAUGCUAGUCAAGACGACACUUAGUGAAUCAACUCCUCAACAAGUGUUCCAAGAGGUAAUGGCCGAUGAUGCUUAUAGAGAAGAUGAUGAGAAGGAUGAGUUGAUCAAGAAGAAGAAGAAGGAUGGUGAGAAGAAGGAUGAUGAGAAGAAGAAAAGUGUGGCAUUCAAGGCCUCCUCAUCCAAGGGCAAAGCCAAGAUAGAGUCAUCAAGUGAAGAAGAAGCAAGCUCUUGUGAUAGUAAUGAAGAUGAGGAGAUGGCUCUUCUUGUCAAAAGAUUUGGAAAGUUUAUGAAGAAGAAGGGCUAUCGGGCAAGAAGAAAGAAGAGCUCCUCCAAGAAGAAUGAUCAUUCCAUGAGGUGCUUUAGAUGCCAUAGCAAGGAUCAUCUCAUCGCCAAGUGUCCUUAUGAUAGUGAUGAUGAAGAUGCUAUCAAGAAGGAAAGAAAGAAGCAAAAGAAGAAGCAAGAAAAGAAGGAAGGCUCAAACAAGAAGGGUGAUGCCCAUGUUGCAACUUGGGAUAGUGAUGACUCCUCAAUUGAUGAUGAGAGCACAAAGAAGAAGGCGCAUGCUAGCAUUGCAAUUCAAGCAAAAAGCUCCAUCUUCGACACUCCAUCAUGCUUCAUGGCUAAGGCUACUAAGGUAUCAUCCGAUGAUGAGAGUGACCAUGAUAGUGAUAGUGAUGAUGAUGAACCAACUAAAGAGGAACUAAUCACUAUGCUACAAGAUUGCUCUCAUCACUAUAAAGAAACUAGGAAGGAGUGCAAGGCCUUGAUUAAGGAUAAAAAAACCCUUGAGCAAGAACUUGAUGAGCUUAGAGCAUCUUAUGAGAGUCUAAAGGAAGACCAUAAGAAGCUUCAAAAGGCUCACACAAAGCUUGAAGAAGCUCAUUCCUCUCUAGUUAACAAAUGUAAAAAUGAGCCAACUAAAAUUGAAAAAGCUAAAACUUGCAACAUAGGCAUAACAUGUGAUAUCUUGAGUAAGCCUAUUGUUAUUGCUUCUACUAACCCUUCAUGUAGCACAUCUACAUCAUCCUCAUCUAGUAGUGAUGGUUUCACUUGUGACACCACACUAAAAGUUGAGAAUGAAAUUCUCAAGAAGGAGGUGAAAGAGCUCAAUCACACCUUAGCCAAGGCUUAUGGUGGUGAGGACCGCUUGCUUAUGUGCUUGGGUACCCAAAGAGCUUCUCUCUAUAAAGAGGGAUUGGGCUAUGAUCCUAAGAAAGGCAAGGCCGCCUUUGCUCCUCAAAAGACUAGUUUUGUGAAGAACAAUAGCCGGUAUUGCAAAGCUUGCAAGCUAGUUGGUCACCUAGAGCAACAAUGCAUGAACAAGAAACCCAAAGCUUAUGUAUCCUCAAUUAAGCUUAAUUCUUUCUAUGUGCUUACCAAGGAUACAAAAGGUGUUCAUGGUAAGUUCAUUGGUGCACCAUGGAUGGGCUCAAAGAAGAAAGCCAUUUGGGUACCAAAGAGCUUAGUUGCUAACCUUGGAGGAACCAAUCAAGUUUGGGUAUCUAAAAGGAAUUGAUCUUGUCUUGUAGGUCAAUUACAAAGCCAGAGGAAGGCAUUGGGUGCUUGAUAGUGGGUGCACUCAACAUAUGACCGGAGAGUCUUGUAUGUUCAAAUCAAUUGAUACAAAUCAAAAUGGUGGCUUUGAUUCUAUCACAUUUGGCAACAACAAGAAAGGCAAGGUCAAGGGGCUUGGUAAAAUUGCUAUCUCAAAUGACAUGAGCAUAUCAAAUGUGUUGCUAGUUGAAAGCCUUGAUUUCAAUCUCUUGUCAAUUGCACAACUUUGUGACCUUGAUUUCAAGUGCAUCUUUGGUAGUGAUGAUGUUGAGGUGAUUAGUGUUGAUGGAUCAAACUUUAUAUUCAAAGGAUUUAGGCAUGGUAGCUUAUACUUGGUUGAUUUCAAUGAUAGUGACACUCAAUUGACAUCAUGCCUAAUUAGCAAAUCAAGUUUGGGUUGGUUGUGGCAUAGAAGGCUUGGUCAUGUUGGAAUGAAACAAUUGAACAAACUAUUGAGGCAUGACUUAGUUAGAGGCUUGAAGGAUGUCACCUUUGAGAAGGAUAAACCAUGUAGUGCUUGUCAAGCCGGAAAGCAAGUUGAAAAUGCACAUCCUAAGAAAAGUGAAAUGAGCACACCAAAGGCAUUUGAGCUAUUGCACAUGGAUUUAUUUGGGCCAACAACAUAUACUAGCAUUGGUGGCAACAAGUAUGGAUUUGUGAUAGUAGAUGACUACACUAGAUACACUUGGGUGUUCUUCCUCUAUGACAAGAGUGAUGUUUGUGAUCUAUUCAAGUCUUUUGUCAAGAGGGUGCAAAAUGAGUUUGAAACCACUAUCAAGAAGAUUAGAAGUGACAAUGGUAGUGAAUUCAAGAACACAAGAAUAGAGGAAUUGUGUGAUGAUCUUGGCAUUGGACAUCAAUUCUCUCCAACAUACACUCCUCAAUCCAAUGGUGUAGUUCAAAGGAAGAAUAGAACCUUGAUUGAUAUGGCUAGAUCAAUGCUUAGUGAAUACAAUGUUAGCCAUUCAUUUUGGAGUGAAGCUAUCAACACGGCUUCCUAUUGUAGCAACCGUCUCUAUUGCCAUGGAAAGCUUGGGAAGACACCAUAUGAGCUAUUGAAUGGAAGAAAGCCCAACAUUGCAUACUUUAGAGUGUUUGGUUGUAGAUGCUACAUUCUCAAGAAAGGCACUAGAUUGAGCAAAUUUGAGAAGAAAUGUGAUGAAGGGUUCUUACUUGGUUAUUCCACCACAAGCAAAGCAUAUAGAGUUUGGAACUUGACAAGUGGCACAUUAGAAGAAGUUCAUGAUGUUGAGUUUGAUGAAACCGAGGGAUCUCAAAAUGAAGUUCAAAAUCUUGAUGAUGUAAGAGGAGAUCAAUUGGCUAAUGCAAUGAAGAACAUGGAUGUUGGUGACAUAAGGCCAAGGCAAGUUGAUGAUGAUGGUGACAUUCACAUGAUCAAUCAAGAAGUGCAAAUUGAUACAAAUCAAACAAGUACUAGUGGCUCUCGUGAUGAUGAUCAAAAUCAAAAUCAAGCUAGUAGAAGCAAUCAACUCCCAAUACUCCAACCUACAAGCAUAGCAAGAGAUCAUCCAUUGGAUCAAGUCAUUAGUGGUAUUCAAAGUGGUGUACAAAAAAGAUCAAGGCUAGCAUCCUUUUGUGAGCACUACUCAUUUGUCUCAUUUGAGGAACCAAAGAAAAUAGAAGAUGCAUUGAAGGAUUCCGAUUGGGUAAAUGCCAUGCAUGAAGAAUUGAACAACUUCACAAGAAAUCAAUUGUGGGAGCUUGUUGAGAGGCCAAAGAACUACAAUGUGAUUGGUACCAAGUGGGUCUUUAGAAACAAGCAAGAUCAAGAUGGUGUGGUUGUGAGAAACAAAGCAAGAUUAGUAGCACACGGCUACACUCAAGUUGAAGGUCUUGACUUUGGAGAAACCUAUGCACCAGUUGCAAGAUUGGAGGCAAUUAGAAUAUUAUUAGCCUAUGCUUGUGCCCACAACAUCAAACUCUAUCAAAUGGAUGUGAAGAGUGCAUUUCUCAAUGGAUACAUCAAUGAGUUGGUUUAUGUUGAACAACCUCCCGGUUUUGAAGAUGACAAGAAACCCAACCAUGUGUACAAGCUCAAGAAGGCAUUGUAUGGUUUGAAGCAAGCACCUAGAGCAUGGUAUGAGAGAUUGAGAGAUUUUCUUCUUUCUAAAGGGUUCAAGAUUGUUGAUGGUGGAUAUACCAUAGAAAUCCACAUACAAAACACCGUCAACAUGCCUCGGUUGCAAGAGGAAACGACAUGACAUGAACAUAUUUUAUCCAUAACUAGUUCCACUUGUACUCUUAGCUUGUUUAUGCAGGAACAACAAAUUCAAGACAUUAUUUGACAAAGCCAACAUCAGAAUCAUCAAGAGGAGAUCGAGGGGACAACAGGUGACACCCUGGGCCCACAGGGAGGGGGUCGCCCGACCCCUCUUUGGUGGGACCCAGGUGUGCCACCUAGUCCACCGACAUAAGGGACCCCUGUGGACACUGCUGGUGGGCCCAGAGGCCCAGAAGUGGGGUCGCCCGACCCCACAUCAAAGGCGGUUCCAGGGUCGGUGGCCUCCCACCGACCUUCCCCACAUGUCCCACAUGUUGAUUUGCCCCUGCCGUUGAUCAAAUGGCGGUUGUGAGGUCGGUUUGAUCCAAGGGUGGAGAGAAGAUGUCACGCGGAUCGAUGACGUGGCGAUGGAGUAACCCCUACUCCAUCUCCCUCUAUAAAAGGCAGCCUCCAUCCUUCAUUUCAAGUGUGCAAUUCCAAGGCCAAGUGCAUUACAAGUUCCAAGCAUACAAGUAGAGUAGUAGUUAGUCUAGAGUGGGAGUUAGAGUCGAGUCGAGCGAAGCUCGGGGUCUCCGGAUUCGUCUUCUGGAGAGUCUGGUAUAGCUCUUGUACCUUUCUACUUUUGUAAGACUUUCCUUUUAUUAAUAUAUUAUUCUUACUUUACUUUACUGAGUUCUUACUUAGUGCAAGUCUUUUAGUCUUGUUGUGCAUUUACUUUAGUAAUAUAGUUGUCUUAGUGAAGUUAGUGACCUGUAACCACUCCUGUGUGUGCAUCAUCGUCCUAUCUUGUAUAGGAGCUCUAGCUAGCUGCAACUAGUUAGCGUUGUAGGAUUAAGUGUGAGCGUGGUGCUCAUACUUAAGAUUACCUUUGAUUACCGCUGGCUUGAACGGAAAGUAGGAGCGCACUCCCUAGUAGGUGACAGAUCGUGGGCGGCAUUAGGUUCUCCUCACGUACAGGCUAGUUCUUAAAAGGUAAGGCGUCCAUAAGCCCAAUAGUCGCUUUCGGUAAGGGGUUAGGUGAAAAACCUUCUAAGCGUCUUACCAGCUCGGCUAUCCCUCGCACACAGUUAGUAAGGCUCUAGCGUAGUUAAGACAAUUAUCUAUUAAAGUAAGUCACAGAAGUCAAGUUAGAUACAUAGGAGUCCUUUACUCACUCGUUGUCCUCCCACCUAGCUAACUCUACCAUUUACCUUUAGCAUAGGACCUUGGAUUCACCACUACCCUUCCUAUUCGUUAUUUACCACCCUUAUUCACUAGUUGAUACUAGAUAACUCAAGGAAUCUCAUUCCCCUUUUUGUUAAACACACUUAGCCGCUUUCCCUUGGGAAAAUAUAAAUUACGAUACCUUGGAAUACUCCUUGGUGAAGUGCUACAGCGGUACAUUCUGUGCGCUUGCGGAAUUAUCCAAUAGUAAAUAGAGUUACCCUACCAGGGCACUUCUGGCGCCGUCGCCGAUAUCCGGUGGUUGCGUUAAGAAGUGUCAACAAGCAUUUCUGGCGCCGUUGCCGGGGAAAGCGUCUGUCUAAGAGUUUUAACAAAAAGAGAAUCCAGAGUUUGCUAGUUAUCAAGUAGUGAUAGGGAUAACCCAUCACUUGUCUUGUCUUCCUUUAUUGUGAAGCCUGACAGUGUAUGAGCGGUUUCAAAUUGCCGUCAAACUUCGUUGAAGAUCCUGAGCAACUGUUGAGGAGAACUAGACGUCGUCAAGUUCCACCUCAAAGGUUCAUCUCGAACCUGAAUCCGUUAGAGGAAGGAGUAUCUGCACCGGUUAUCAAAGAAGCUAUGGCCCAGAAGACCAUCUCUGAGUACUCUGCGCCGUCGGCUGACAAUGUCGCCACGGGUCCGCAGCUUAACUUGGGGGAUGCGACUUUUGAGUUGAAGCCUGCGCUUAUCAAUAUGGUGCAAGCUAAUCCCUUCUGUGGAAAGCCACACGAGGAUGCCAAUGCCCAUCUCCAACACUUCUUGGAGGUGUGCGGCACCUUCACCAUCAAGAAUGUCGCCGCAGACGCCAUCCGUCUUCGCCUCUUCCCAUUCUCGUUAUUGGGGAAGGCGAAGCAAUGGUUCUACGCCAACAAGGGUGAAGUGACCACGUGGGAGAGGUGCGCCAAUGCAUUUCUCAAGAAGUUCUUUCCGAUGGGCAAGACCAGCGCCCUUCGUGGAAAGAUUUCCAGCUUCCAACAGCAAGCAGAUGAGACGAUUCCCGAAGCAUGGGAACGUCUGCAGGAGUACAUUCGCGCCUGUCCUCAUCAUGGGAUAGAGGAGUGGCUCCUAAUCCAAGGUUUCUACCAUGGCCUGACCGGUUUGGCCCGUAGUCACCUUGAUGCUGCCGCUGGAGGAGCAUUCUUGCAACACAAUGUCAAGGAUGCCAAGGACCUCAUUGAAAAGAUGGUUAUAAACCAAGGAUGGAAUGAGGAACGCCUCCAACCCAAGAGAAGAGGUGUCCAUGCCUUGAAUGAGGUGGACAUGCUCUCUGCUAAGAUGGACCUCUUAAUGAAGAAGAUGGAAGAAAGUUCCAAGCAAGAGACCAUUCAACCUUACGCCACUGCACGGGCCAUUGAAUCUGAUUCAUGGUGCGAAGUGUGCGGAGGAGAUGAUCAUUCGGGAAACAAUUGUCCCGAAACAAAGGAGGAAGUGAGCUUCAUCAACAACAACAACAAUGGGUACCGGCCCCAACAACAGCAUUGGAACUCGCGCCCCUUCUACCAAGGUAAUCAAGGUAAUGGUUACAAUCAAAAUUUCAAUAAUUCUUUUGGUAACCAACCUUCUCUUAGAGAUCUUGUCUUAGGCCAAUCUAAAAUCAAUGAUAGCAUUAACAAGAAAAUGAUGGCUAAUGAUAAGAUCCUUGAAAACUUAAGUGAAAAGUUGGAUAGCUUUAACUCUGCUAUGAAAAAUCAGUUGAGCUUUAACAAAAUGCUAGAAACACAAUUAUCUCAAUUAGCAGCAGCUGUCCCAUCCUUCGAGCAAGGUAAGAUCCCAGGGAAACCUGAGGACCCAAUUGAAGGAGUUAAACUAGUUACUAUGAGGUUCGGUAAGCCUCCGGUACAAUCCAACUGGAGCUAUCUUCUGGAUUCGCCCUUCAUCACCAAGAAGGACGACCCAGGCCUGCCGACCAUCACCUGUGAGAUCGGACCGCAAAUCUUCCACAACGCCUUCUGCGACCUUGGAUCGGGUGUCAACAUCAUGGCCAAGGUAACUUAUGAUAAUUUGCUAGGGGGGCCUUUGCACCCCACAUUUGUUCGUUUGCAGAUGGCAGAUCAGACGAUCAGGUUCCCUGAGGGGUUGGCAAGGGACAUACUGGUAAAAGUUCAAGACGACUACGUCCCUGCCGACUUCAUCAUUCUAGAUAUGGGAUCCAAUAAUGAUGUCUCGAUCAUCUUGGGAAGGCCAUUCCUCAACACGGUCAAUGCAGUCAUCUAUGUGGGGUCCGGCCAGAUUCACCUCCAAUUCCCAGGAUGGAAGGUAAAAUGUCCAUUCAAUGGUUAUAAAGCUAACAUGCAGGUGAAGGACAAAGAACCUCCGACUAAGCCUCGCCACAUCCGACGCCGAAGGGACAAGAGAGGUAAGUCGGCCAAAAGGGCCGAAAAGAAAGAAGAGGAACCCGCUGAACCAAAAAUCAAUACCAAGCAAGUAUGGCGGGAGAAAGAGGUGCAAUCAAGGUCCACGUCUCCGGGACCAUCUGAUGCACCCGAAGGAUGAACAAGAUGGAGAGGUCCUGCUCUACGGACCUAAAACAUGGAGCCCUUGCUGAUAAGGUAAAUCAGUAGUUAUCCCAUAUUUAUUUUCUGCAUUUCAAUUGCAUUCUUACUUUGAAUUUUGCAUAUCUUAUUUCGACAAAAUGUUUAGCCAUAAUAAAUAAAAUCUUGAGAAUAACUUGUCAUAAAAAUUUGAGCUGCUGGAGCUCCCAAAGGGGGGUCGCCCGACCCCACCUUGGGGCCCACUUCACCACAUUUCAACCUUGCUAGUCAUAGAGGUUCCAACCCAGCACUUGGAUGCUCUGGAAGCUCCAAUGUGGGGGUCGGCCGACCCCCAUAUUGGCCCCACUUGCCUCCUGCUGGCCACCAUUUGAAUCACAAUGGAGUCCUAUGCUUGUAACACUAGCUAAAGUUUGAAAAAGAGUGGUCCCUUGAUCCUUUACUUUAGUCAUAAGAUGCUCCUUUCAUCUUUGAUUCUUUUGGGACCACUCCACUAGCUUAAAUUCUGCAAAGUGGUCACCUAGGCAUGCUUGAGUGCUCCCAUGGUCCAUAGGAAUCACUUUAGACAUGUCUCCACUUUUGCCAUUCAUCUUUUACCUUUCACAAAGCACUAAAACAGGGAAUCUCAGAAACAAUUUGAAAAAUUUGGUCCACACCUAGCCUUUACUUUUCUGGACAAUCAAUGACACAAUGUUUAAAGUAGAGGAGGGGCUAGGAUGGGAGUCGGCCGACCCCCAUUUUGGACCAUCUCUGCAAAAUCUUGAAAGCAUGCAGAAUGGUUCCCUGUAUAAAGCUAAAUUCAAAUUCAAAGUGCUUCUAGGGGGGGUCGGCCGACCCCUAUAUUGUGGGUCCACUACUUGCCCUUCUCCCCCUAUAAAUACCACAGCAUUGUGAGCUCAACUCCACACCCAAAACCACCAGAACCAUUUCGAGCUCACAAUCCUUUCUCUUCUCUCUUUGUUACAAGCCAUUUCUCAAGUUUAGUUUAGAAAUAGUCAUCAAAACAAAAACCCAAAAAGAUUCCCCUUGCAUAGUAGUAGUAGUAGGAGCUUGGUUUGCCUCACUUGUGUAGGAGAAUGAAGAAGCAUAUCUUCGGCAAGUUCAAGAAAGCAAAGGGUGAGAGCUCUUCUCAAGGCUCUCACCAUGCUCAUGGAAGGGAGGAAGAAGAAGGUUACCAUGGGAUGGUACCCUACGAGCCUCCAUCAAGGAUGAGAGAGCCCGAGAGCGGCCUCAUGUUAAGCCAAGAAGAGUUGCAAAGGUACUACAUCAUCCGAGAGGGUCUCUUCCUACACACUAGCAUCAUCGAUCCGGACCUUUUGGCCCGCACAGGUAUGGAUGUUGAAUUCGAUAAGGUGUUUAGAGCAAUUGGUUGGAGUAGUUUUUUGGCAAGUGCCUGAAUUUGGAAAAGAAUUGCUUGCUAAGGAAUUUCUAUGCACCCUAAAACUCACAAAUAAUGGAAUAUCUUUUCGCAUGUGUGAGCAAGAACAUCAAUUAAAUUAGAGUUUGCUAAACACUGCUUUAGGGUGUGAACAUGAAUGUGAACUUGAUCUAGAUCAUGCCACUAGAAUGUUCGAUAAAUUUAGAUUCUGGAAAGCAAUUUCUGGCUCUAAUGAUUGUUCAAAUCCUACUCCCAUUGAAAUCCAUAAUCCAACCUUGCGCUUUCUUCACUUCUGGAUCAUGUGCACUCUAUAUCCUGGCAUGGGAACUGAUACUUUAAUUGAUGAUGAACUUAAAAUUCUCUACGCCAUGGUUAGUAAAAUCAAGGUCUCCCCUGUGAAACUGCUAGUGAACUAUUGGCUUAACUCUAUUGAGUAUGGGAAGCCCAUCUAUUUCACAUCCUUUAUUACUCGAAUAGCCGAUACUUUUGGAUUACUUGAAUCACAUUAUUUUGAAGACAUUGGCUAUGUUAGAGGAGUGGUAGAUGAGAACUUCUUUAUCAAUGCUAACAUGCUCAUAAGAGAUCCAAAUGGUGAACUUAAAAUGAUUUAUCCGGGCUAUACAACCGAAAUUCCUCUCCCAUGUGCGAGGCGCCGGUUGUAUGGGGUCCGCACACUUACCAUUAGACUAGCCCGAGUGGCAAGUCCAGAUGUUGCAGGGACACGCAGGGUGACAAGAAGGAUGAUGCAAGCCGCCCGGAUGGAGCAAGGAGGAUCCUCGCACCAUGACGUUGAAGAGGGCGAUGAAGCGAUGUCAGUGGAUGCUUCAGACUCUAUGGGUCUACCUCCACAACGCACUCCACGCCCAAGGGACAGGGCUAGGCGUCACCAGCCCACAGGUAUGGACAGUCUCAUUAAUGACAUGGGCGAAUUGCAGAUUGGGCAAGAAGCAACAUUGCAACUGGCGUUACAAAAUGGCCAACAUAUCCGACGUGUGCGAGAGGGAGACGCACAACGCUGGGCUGGAUGGUACCAAAAUUUCCCGCCACCACAGUGAGCGAAGAUCUAGCUUGGGGGAGAUCCUCUCCCCCACUAAGGUAAGUAUUCUAUCCUAUUUAUUUUCAUGCAUUUUAUCAUUCUUACUUAAAAAAAAUAAAAAAUAAAUAAAUAAAUAAAUAAAUAUUUAUUAGCAUUUCCCUUUAGCAUAUAUGCUUCAUGUAUGUUUACAUCCCUCAUGGAAAUUAUGACUAGUUGCUUGUUAAUGUUUCUCUAGUGCCUAGUAUACAACUUAGUAUUUCUCUAAGUAUGGAUCACUUAGCUCACUUAAACUGCCAUGAACCUAAAAACUUUGUGGGUUGCAAGUGCUAGAACUAAGUCUAAGUUGUUGUGGGACAUGAGAUAGUAAGACAAGAGCUACUAUAAUAUUUUUCUAAGCAUGCAUGAUUAUCAGAGAUUUAUUCUUAAAAUGAUCAAAACCUUAAUUGUUCCUCAAUGGUGAUGAAUUCCUACCACAGCCAUAUCUACUUUACAUAAUUGCAACCUUUCCACAUAAGCUAUUUGCUUUGUGUUGAGUGUCGUCAAGUCUUGUUGACCCUUGUUAAGAGACUUUUCAUGCUCCUAAGAUCAAGAUCACGUACACACCACAUAUAUAUAUGCUGCUUCUACACUGGAAGUACGCAACCACAUGUAUUUCACAUCCACUAAAUAGGUUGCUCCAUACUCUAAAUGUUAGAACAUCUCUCUAAGCAUUAUUUGGUAAAUGAGACAUCAAAAGGCUAGGCAAAAUGAAAUAAAAAGAUGGACAUGUGCAAGUCCACAGAAAAAGAAAAUUGAGCACAUGAAAGCUCAUAUAUAAAAAAAAAGAAAAAAAUGCUAGCCAUGUCUCAAUACAUAGAGAGUCUAUCAAAUAAAGGAGCAACCUAGUCCACCAUAUAUCACACUUGCACAUCUUGAUCUGGGAGUAUGACACUUCUCUUCAAGGAUCCGAGCUUUGACUUCGCAAUACAUGCAAAGUAAGUAUGCUAUCUCCUUUCAUCCCUACCUUGAACUCCACAUAAGCCUUUUAGAAAUAGGAUGAAAUAGAGAAGGCAACUCUUACCAUAUGCCUUGGUGAGGAAUCAUACACCAUUUGAGUGACAUGAGAGAACCAUAAGAGGAACAUUUAAGCUUUCUUUUGAAAAUAUCACAAAACCUCUGAUAUGAAACUUGCUAAGAAUGAGAAAGUUAGUGCUCAAGUCAAACUGUUCUGUCUCUCAACCACCUAAGACAAAGGAAAAGCCAUAAGCCCCAUAAGGGACUAAGGUAAUAGGGGUAAGUUUACAUAGCUAAAUUUUUCAUGCAAAGAGAAGAACUUUGUUGUACACAUGGUACUCUUGAAAUGUGAACAUAGUAACAAUACCUGAUCCACCGAGGCUAAGUUUGAUUGUUUGCUCGGGACGAGCAAAGGUUAAGCUUGGGGGAUCUUGUUGACGGUGGAUAUACCAUAGAAAUCCACAUACAAAACACCGUCAACAUGCCUCGGUUGCAAGAGGAAACGACAUGACAUGAACAUAUUUUAUCCAUAACUAGUUCCACUUGUACUCUUAGCUUGUUUAUGCAGGAACAACAAAUUCAAGACAUUAUUUGACAAAGCCAACAUCAGAAUCAUCAAGAGGAGAUCGAGGGGACAACAGGUGACACCCUGGGCCCACAGGGAGGGGGUCGCCCGACCCCUCUUUGGUGGGACCCAGGUGUGCCACCUAGUCCACCGACAUAAGGGACCCCUGUGGACACUGCUGGUGGGCCCAGAGGCCCAGAAGUGGGGUCGCCCGACCCCACAUCAAAGGCGGUUCCAGGGUCGGUGGCCUCCCACCGACCUUCCCCACAUGUCCCACAUGUUGAUUUGCCCCUGCCGUUGAUCAAAUGGCGGUUGUGAGGUCGGUUUGAUCCAAGGGUGGAGAGAAGAUGUCACGCGGAUCGAUGACGUGGCGAUGGAGUAACCCCUACUCCAUCUCCCUCUAUAAAAGGCAGCCUCCAUCCUUCAUUUCAAGUGUGCAAUUCCAAGGCCAAGUGCAUUACAAGUUCCAAGCAUACAAGUAGAGUAGUAGUUAGUCUAGAGUGGGAGUUAGAGUCGAGUCGAGCGAAGCUCGGGGUCUCCGGAUUCGUCUUCUGGAGAGUCUGGUAUAGCUCUUGUACCUUUCUACUUUUGUAAGACUUUCCUUUUAUUAAUAUAUUAUUCUUACUUUACUUUACUGAGUUCUUACUUAGUGCAAGUCUUUUAGUCUUGUUGUGCAUUUACUUUAGUAAUAUAGUUGUCUUAGUGAAGUUAGUGACCUGUAACCACUCCUGUGUGUGCAUCAUCGUCCUAUCUUGUAUAGGAGCUCUAGCUAGCUGCAACUAGUUAGCGUUGUAGGAUUAAGUGUGAGCGUGGUGCUCAUACUUAAGAUUACCUUUGAUUACCGCUGGCUUGAACGGAAAGUAGGAGCGCACUCCCUAGUAGGUGACAGAUCGUGGGCGGCAUUAGGUUCUCCUCACGUACAGGCUAGUUCUUAAAAGGUAAGGCGUCCAUAAGCCCAAUAGUCGCUUUCGGUAAGGGGUUAGGUGAAAAACCUUCUAAGCGUCUUACCAGCUCGGCUAUCCCUCGCACACAGUUAGUAAGGCUCUAGCGUAGUUAAGACAAUUAUCUAUUAAAGUAAGUCACAGAAGUCAAGUUAGAUACAUAGGAGUCCUUUACUCACUCGUUGUCCUCCCACCUAGCUAACUCUACCAUUUACCUUUAGCAUAGGACCUUGGAUUCACCACUACCCUUCCUAUUCGUUAUUUACCACCCUUAUUCACUAGUUGAUACUAGAUAACUCAAGGAAUCUCAUUCCCCUUUUUGUUAAACACACUUAGCCGCUUUCCCUUGGGAAAAUAUAAAUUACGAUACCUUGGAAUACUCCUUGGUGAAGUGCUACAGCGGUACAUUCUGUGCGCUUGCGGAAUUAUCCAAUAGUAAAUAGAGUUACCCUACCAGGGCACUUCUGGCGCCGUCGCCGAUAUCCGGUGGUUGCGUUAAGAAGUGUCAACAAAGAUGGGAAAGGUUGACACUACCCUCUUCACCAAGAAGCUAGGCAAUGACUUGUUUGUGUUGCAAAUCUAUGUUGAUGAUAUCAUAUUUGGAUCAACCAAUCAAGACUUUUGUGAAGAGUUUGGGAAAAUGAUGGCAAAUGAGUUUGAGAUGUCCAUGAUUGGAGAUCUUAGUUACUUCCUUGGACUUCAAAUCAAGAAAAUGAAGGAUGGCACUUUUGCGAGUUAAGGAAAGUACAUCAAGGACAUGAUCAAGAAGUUUGGGUUGCAAGAAGCCAAACCAAUGAGCACACCUAUGGGCACAAAUGAUCAAUUAGGUAGUGAUGCAAGUGGCAACAUGCUAGAUCAAAAGCUAUAUCGGUCAAUGAUUGGAAGUUUGCUCUAUGUCACCGCUUCAAGGCCAGAUGUAAUGUUUAGUUUGUGCAAAUGUGCAAGAUACCAAGCUUCACCAAGGGAAAGUCACUUGAACGCAACCAAAAGGAUAUUGAGGUAUCUUAAGGGCACUCAUGAUAUUGGAUUAUGGUAUCCCAAGGGGUCAAACUUUGAGUUGAUUGGAUAUUCGGACUUCGACUAUGGUGGAUGCAAGAUUGAUAGAAUGAGCACAAGUGGCACUUGUCAAUUGCUAGGUAGGUCUCUAGUUUCAUGGUCAUCAAAGAAACAAAAUAGUGUUACACUAUCAACCGCCGAGGCCGAAUACAUUAGUGCCGGUAGUUGUUGUGCAAAAUUGCUUUGGAUGAAAGCUACCUUGAAUGACUUUGGAAUCAGAUUCAAGAAUGUGCCUUUGCUAUGUGACAAUGAGAGUGCAAUCAAGAUGACACAAAAUCCGAUUCUACAUUCAAGAACCAAGCACAUUGACAUAAGGCACCAUUUCAUAAGGGACCAUCAUCAAAAGGGUGAUAUUAGCAUUGAAAGCAUUGGCACCGAAGAUCAACUAGCCGACAUCUUCACAAAGCCACUUGAUGAGAAGAGAUUUUGCAAGUUGAGGAAUGAGUUGAACAUACUUGACUUCUCUAACUUGAGAUGAGUGCACCCCCACUUUUAAAUAUGACAUGCCUCUCCUCCAACAAAGCAAGGUAAAGUUGGUUGACAUAGCAUUCAUACUUUGCUAAGGACAUGAUUAGAACAUAUAGACAUGUUUGCAUGACAAAUAGGCUCAUUCAUGAAAAUCAAAAGAUUUUGAUGUAUGUAUGGUACCACUAUUGCUUCUAUGUUUGAUUGAUCUAGUGGUAGCAUAUGACAUGUUGGUGAGCUUGUAAGCCUAGUGUUGGAUCUAGAAUAUGAGCUUAAGAUGUGUAAUUCAACAUGGUCAAGAUAACCCUUAUACUUUAUGAGGUGUGAAGAAGCUUGUCCUUGGAUCAAACCGAAUCACAUAUUCUAGGCAAGUGAUCUAGAUUGAACAAUAAUUUGACCCUCACAUUGAUUGACUUAAUUCUCACUAAAAUUUGAACCUUUGUGGUCAUUGAUGACAAAGGGGGAGAGAAACAAAGAUAAAGUCAAAAAGGGGGAAAGAAACAAAGAUAGGGAGAGAAAAGAAAGAGAAAACUUUUUAAACUUGAGCACACAAAUAGGGGGAGCAAGCUCAUGAACCAUUUUGUUGCAUUUGUAUGUGCACUAACAUAAUGAGGUGUUGCAUUGCAAGUUUAAAUAUACUACUCUUGUUUGAUUGGUGCUUGCUAGAAAUAGAACUUGAACGAUGCUAUGAAUUCUAGCAUAGAGUUUUAUUUUCAUGUGGUAUCUAGACAUAUAAUGUGAUCUCACGAGGUAUCUUGAGUUUUAAUGUAUGUCUAGCUACAUUGGUGCUAAGGAUGGUAUAUUGGCAACUUCGAUUGGUAUCAUGCUUUAAAGGUCCAUUCUAUAUACCUUAGCAUCAUUUUGGUAGUAAUAAAUCUCCCAAAAUUUCCAAUUCAUGCAUAUGUGCAAACUUGAACCAAACUCAUGGAAGCACAUAUGUAGGGGGAGCUAGUACUACCAAAAUUGAAAUGUUUGUCCAACCUUGUCUCUUGAUAAAAAUGGUUUGGACAAGGAAUUCAAGUUCAUUAUGAUUUCAUUUCAUAUCUUUGUGAUGGUUCUCAUCAAUUACCAAAAAGGGGGAGAUUGAAAGCCCAAGUUUGGUUUUGGUAAUUAAUGACACCAAGUUGCUAAUGCCUUGUGUUUAAGUGAUUUGAGUUAGGCAUAGCAACACAUGUUAUGAAGGUGCAUGGUGGCAUGGAAAGGUGGCCACAUGAUCACAAAGGGAUGAAGCAUGAAGUGAAGAUCAUGGUGAUAGACGAGGAGAAAAGUUAUCAAGGCAAAGGUAUAAACAUAGGUUUUUACUUUUGCCGGUCUAAGAUGAGUAGAGAAGUGAUUGACCGGGUAUAGGAUAGAUAGCCGACUAUCAAGAGGGGAAAUCACAGUCAUCUCUCGAAUCAAGUGCUACUAGGUCCAUAUCUUGAGCAUAUGCAUUAGGAUCUAGUAAAUUGCUAACUUAACUCCUUUGGUGAAAAUGUUUGUGAAAAGCUAACACACUUGCACUUUGGUGGUGGACACUUGUUGGUGUUAGCACAUUUACAAAGGAGGUGGAGUUCCUAUGGUUGAGAGGGGUGUGGGUUCCUCUCUCCUUCCCGCCUCGCAAGCUCGGCGGGAUUCGGCGCUUUUGAGAAAAAUAAGUGUAUAUUUUCUAUUGCACCGGUGGGAAAUUUGGAGAAGUCGUUGGAGUGUUUUCUCACUGAGAAACACUCACCGGACGCUGAGUGCAGAGGAACCGGACGCUGGUCUCAGAGUCCGGUGUGCUUGACCCUACUAGGGUGGAGCACCGGACGCUCUCUGAUUGUGUCCGGUGGUGUGCAUCUGGUGUGAGGGCGUUUUGCAACCCUCUCUGCACAUGAGUCUGGUGAGCACCGGACGCAUCCAUUGUGGACUAGCUUAGCGUCCGGUGACACUGUGGUUUGCGGAACUCUCUGCGCAUGAGUCUGGUGUGCGCCGGACGCGUCCGGUGUGGACUUGCAGAGCGUCCGGUGUGUUGCAGGUGACCGUUAGAAUCUGACACGUGGUAUUCAAGAAGGACGAGUGGCCUACCCCUGAGCAUCGAACGCUGGGGGUCGAGCGUCCGGUGAUCACUUGGUAGCGUCUGGUGCCCCCGAUUUCAGCCCAGUGAAAGUGGCCAACGGCUAGUUUCUUUGAGGGGCUUAUAAAUUGAGGCUGGCCAGCUUUGGGGGGUUCUCUCUUGCACAUUUUGAUGACUUGAGACAUACAUUGAGCUAGAGAACACUCCCUCCACUAAUCUCCUUGCUUGAUUGCUAAUCCUAGUGAGAUUGAGUGAGAUUCAAGUGCAUUGCUUUGAGAGUUGCAUUUAGUGGCACUUGAUUCUUGAGUUUGCUGCGGAUUUCUUGUUACUCUUGGGUGUUUCCCGACGCCCUAGACGGCUUGGAGCAGCGGUGGUGUUGAGCUCGUGAUUGGAGAUUGUUUCGAGCCUCACCAAGUGACUUGUGAGGGGUUCUUGAGCCUUCCCCGUGAGAGAUCGCAAUUGGCUACUCUAGUGGAUUGCUCGUGGCUUGGAGGAUCCCCAUCUUGUGAGUGGAUGUGCGGCACCCGAUGAGGGUUUCGCUUUGGAUUGCCAAUUAGCUCGUGAUCCAUCAAGUGGGUGUAUCGCCACAACGAGGAGUAGCUUGCUGGGGAAGCAAGUGAACCUCGGUAAAAAAUCUUGUGUCAUCUCUUGCCGAGGUUUCUCUUGUGAUUGUGCACGUGAUUGAUUGGAUAUAUUUCUACUCUACAACGUCGAUAUAACAAUCACUCCCCUCUCCUUUACCUUUGUGUAUACCUUGCUAGUUGUGUAGCUUGUUUAGCUUAGCUAUCUUGUUUUGGAGUGUAGCAAGCUUCUAGUUGUGCUUUCUUGUUGUAACUAGUGUUUAGCUUUCUUGCUAGACUUGUGUAGGUGGCUUGCAUAGCUUAGUUGUGCUAGUGCUAGAAUAGCUUCGCCUUUUGUUUUACUAAUCAACUUGUCUAGUUGAAGUUUGUAGAAUCUUUAAAUAGGCUAUUCACCCCCCUCUAGCCAUCUGGACCUUUCAACUGCAUGCACAUGGAAACACCUCAUCACUCCAGGACAUCUUCAGCAGCGCGCACCCCUCGCCCUUGUGGUAGGGGGAGGUGCCAACCAUCGUCAGAAAUGGAGACGCUCAUCAGCGAUAUGGAGAACAUCAACAUCAGACAACAGACCACCUUGCAACUCAUGCAAGAGAACUUGGACAUGGCCCAAAGCCUCCAAGCUAAGAGUGAGUACCGAUGGGACCAGUGGUUUGGGUAUCAACCACCCCAGUGAGCAAGAAGGCAAGCUUGUGGGAGAUUGUCUCCCCACUAAGGUAAGUUUAUCCAAGGUGAGUUUCAACCCCCUAAUUUAAUUCUUGUUUUAUUGCAUUUUGUUUGUUUCCUUCUUGCAUAAAAAAAUUCCAAAAAAAUAUUUAUUUUCUUUAUUUGCUUUAUAUAUAUAUGCUUCAUGUGUGCUAUCCUUCCUAUGGAAAUGAUGAUGAAAUUGCUAGUUAAUGUCUCUCUAGUACUUGUUUACAACUUAGCAUUUCUCUAAGUAUGGACUACUUAGCAUUCUUAACCAUCAUGAACUUGAACACUUAGUGGGUUGCAAGUGCUAAAACAAAGUCGAAGUUGUUGUGAGACAUCAUAUAGCUAACAUAAGAGAUCUAUACUAUUGUUCUAAGCAUGCAUGAUUGCCAAAUAAUUUAUUUUUAAAGAUGAAUAAUAAAUUAAUUGUUCCUCAAUGGUGUUAAAUUCCUACCACAUGCCAUAUAUGCUCUACAUGAUAGAAACCCAGCACAUAGGCUGCUUGCUUGUGUUGGGAGUUGUCAACUCUUGUUGACCCCUGGUUUAGAGUUGUGUCAUGCUCAAUGAGAUCAAGAUCCACACCUCCACAUACAUCUGCUGCUCCUACACUGGAAGUAUGCAACAUUCCAUACCAUUCCAUUCCAUUCCACCAAAUAUAGAUGCUCCAUGGUCUAAGUGUAGAAUCUCUCUCUACUAGCUAAAUGUUAGAUGAGACACACAAAGCCAUGUCUAUAGAAAAAUAAUCAUCUUGAAGGACAUCAUCAAGUCCUUGAAAAAAAGAGAAAAAUGCUAGCCUUGUCUCAAUAGAAAAGGAAAUAGAGAGAGUACAAUCAAAUAAAGGAGCCAUCUAGCCAUCAUACUCAUACCACCUUUCCACAUAUAUAUCUUGAUCUCGAGCAUGACACUACUCUUCCUCCAAGGAUCCGAGGUUUUACUUCACAUCAUAUGCAAUGUAAGUACGCCAUCCCCUUGUUCCUAUCUUGAGCUCCACAUAAGCUUUUAUUAUAGUAGGAUUACAUAGAGAAGGCAACUUACUCAUAUGCCUCGGUAAGGAUUUAUACACCACAUGAGUGACUUGAGAGAAACCAUAUGAGGAACAUUAAUCUUUCUUUUGAAAAAAGCAAAAACCUUUGGCAUGAAACUUGCUAAAGAAUAAGAAAAGUAGAUGUCCAGUCAAAGCUGUUCUAUCUCUCAACAUCCCAAGACUGAGUUAAUGCUAUAAGCCCCAUGGGUGCUAAAGUAACAUUGGUGUGUUAGCAUUGUUAAGUUUUCCAUUCAAGAAGUUCUUUGUUGUGCACUUAGUACUAUUAAGAUGUUAACUUAAUGAUAAUACCUGAUCCAAUCGAACCAAGUCUUGAUUGUUUGCUCGGGACGAGCAAAGGUUAAGCUUGGGGGAUCUUAUUGACGGGAAAUAAGACCUAGUUCUAUAUACUCAUGAGAAGGAUUUAAAUCAGAAUAUCAUGAGAAGGAUUUAAAUCAGAAUAUCAUCUAGCUAUAGGGGUUAUCACUAACAGAAUUCCACAAGUUUUGGAGAAUGCCUAUUUCUACAGGGUGAAAGCUGAAAAUAACCAAAGAUGGUCCACAUGUCAGGUUUACAUAGAGAGAAUACUGUGAUUGUCAACUUUUCUAUAAUAUAGAAGGUUCCAGAAGGCUCUAGAUCAAACGGGAAGUGAAUCAGGUUUGGUAGCCGGGUGGCUGCCCGUAGGGUCUUGGGCGCCCGCCCGAAGAUUUCCACCAAUCAUGUUCAACCUCCAAGAUCCUGCAUCCACCGACUUUGAGGAGUAAUCUUAAGCGCAUGUUUACGUCAGUUUGAUCCAAGGGUUGUGGUGCUUCCUAAGAGCUAUAAAUAGAUGAAGGAGAUGCCCUGAUGUAACAUCCCUGAUGUUACGGUUACUAAAACUGGAUCAUGACAUCAUAAGCAUUGCAUAGCAUGCUGGUUAAGCACAACCUGGAGCAUCAACUUAAAACAAGUUACUUUGGUUGCUUGUGCUUAGGGAACUAAAGUGUGCUUAUAUUGUGCAAUGAUGCUAGCGUGGUUGUGAAAUCCCUUGUGUUCGAAGAUUCGGAGAAAAAGGGGGGGGACCCUGAUUUUAAAACCCUAGUUUUGCCCCCAUUUGUGCAAUUUAAAAACUAAGCAAAAUUUGAGGGUGAGUUCAAAAGAAAAUUUGUAGAUCUUGUCAAUAUGUGCAACUUUGGUGUUUUUAUUUUUUGAAGUUUCAAUACAAAAUUCAAAGUAAUUUUGAAAAUACAGAUUUCCAAAAAUUGUCCCCUUUUCCAAUUUGAAUCACUAAUUCAAAAUCUGUUUGGAAUCUUGAAAAGUGACCAACAUGAAAGUUGUAGAAAUUCUCAGUUUGAACAACUUUUAUUUUAGAAUUUUUUCAAGUUAUUGAGAAAAAUCAAAAGUAAUUUUGGAAUUUCUAAUCUGCCCCAAUUCAAAUAGGAAUUUUCCCCAAAUAGGGAUUUUGAAAUUCAAACUGUUUUGCCCAAACUCAAACUUCUCCACUCAGUUUCAGCUUUGGGCACUUAAAGAUGUUUUGUAGCUUUUAAAAUUCUGAACAACUUUUGUUUUGGUGGAAAUUUGACUUCAGCUCAAAUUUUGGAAGAAUUUUGCAAAAAAACAAAAAGAAUUGGAUAUGGAUUGCUAUAGUGAUCCGAUGAGGAUCACGAGCUCUGUCCAGCGCGGCAGCAGAGUGGGCAGGCGCCGCCUUCACGUGCGCCGCAAUGCACCUGGCCACGCAGCUGCUCGCCUGCUUGCGGUCGCAGUGAAGUGGACGAGCCCCUGGCGUCCUCAUCCACUUCUCCCCGUGGCCAACACCCCGCUGCGACCCUCUUUUCCUCUUCUCGCUCAACGCCGACGAGCUUGCUGCGCCUGCAAAAUCCACCUCGCUUGCUUCCCUUCCAAGACACCCGACCACACCAGCAGCUUCGCCAAGAUCAUAGCAACCGUUUGCGCCCCCUAGCACAAGCUCUAGCCCCUUGUAGCCCCAACCCGAGCCGUUCUCCUCCGAUUCUGGCCGAGACCACCGCCGUGAACACCUCACCGCGGCCAGACCUACUCCGAGCUUCUCAAACACCGCUGUUUGCUUCACUGAAGUCGCAGUGAGCCACUGAUGCUUGUGCGCUCUUCGGUUCACGCUCUACUCGCUUGCAGUGGCCGGUGCUCGCACGGCUGACGUUGCCGUCCGCCAUGGACGCGGGCAAGGGGAUUAGGGGGAGUAGCGCGUGGUCUGAGCACCUCAGGAGAUGCGCGGAGAGCUGAGGGUGUGUUGACAUUCGUUAAGUGCAAUAAGAAUAAGAAAAAUUCUGCAAGCGCAUAGAACAUCAUCGUAGCAUGUUACAGGAGUAUUCCAGGUAUCGUUAUUUAUAUUUUACCACUGGGAAGCUACGGUCAAAGAAUCAGAUAACUUACUAUCAUGCAUCUACUAAUUUAAUUAACCAACUAGACUAAAGUAGGGGUAAAUGAUAUAUGAUAGGUAAUAAUAUAGAGGUGAGAAUUCUAUGAUAAAUGCGUAGAUAGCCAUAGUGGGGGGACAACGGGAGAGACCUGGGUUCCUGUAUACUUCUCUAUUACUUCAGUUCUAUGAUAACAAAGAAUGAAUAGAUAUAGCAAUCACAUAUUAGCACUUUGGGACAUCAGAACACCAACCACAGAAAGAGAUGAGAAGGGGGCUGGGAAGCUCUGACUACGGUCCUACAAACACCGAUCCGAACGAGGUGGAAUACGUCGACCGUUAGGGCUGUCACUACCCUAGGGCUACCACAACAAUCCACAGAACUGGGUGCAACCUCAGGUAACCUCUAGUAUAGACACCACGUCUACAAUAACGAUUACUACUCUAAUUACCAUGAAUAACUAGAGCACUCGAUGCGAACGGAGAUCCUAUGCCAAAAUAUAACAACUACACUACUCGAUAAUAAUAAAGGCAUAAAAGUAAAUAGAGAAGAUACAUAUAUUAAAGCAUAAGUCCUACAAUAAAUAUAAAGACAUACCAAAACUCUGAAGACUUCUCCAGAACCGAAGCGCAGCUCCGCUCUCCCUAACUCCCGACUAGAACUAAUCUACUACAUUGGAAUGUCUAGCCCUAAUUCUCUAUAGAGGAAAGGUUAUCCUUUGAGGGCACCUCUCAACUCUAUAUUGAUGUGUUUUCCUCUAGGGGCCAGGGGCCUUGCUUAUAUAGCCUCCUACUUUUGUGCCUUUUUGGUUUAGCAGGCGAUGUGGUUGUUGACACUUGCUAACACCACUUGAAUACUAGGUUGUCAUCCCCAGCAUGGCACUAGAGUGUACUAUGGUAUUUAUACGCACACAGAUAAUCCGCAAGCGCACGGAUACCGUUGAAGCUUUUACCCGGUUAAAGGUUUUAUCGUAUCCACAGGGAAACGGGAGAACUGAUCUACGCUCUAACUUAACCAAGAUAAGUAAAUAGGUGUAAAUAGGAAAGAUGGUAGAAUCGAAUAAGAACAAUAUUAAAGGUAAGAUAACAAUGGGUGAUAAUAUGGGAAUAGAGAGUAGAGCAAUUCUAGUAUAUGGGCGAUGGUAGCAGAAUAGAGAGGAUAACUAUGGUUUCUCUACUUCAAAGGGGUAUGUCUAUGUCUGGGACGAACCACGUGAUAAGAGUACACCACAAAGGAUGCUUAUCCUUAGGCCGAUAAACCCUACCCGUCCUGCUAACGAGAGGUGGACUACAGAGGACCAACGUAACUGUCACCUACGCGGCCUACCACACGAUCCCGCUAGACAGGUGAUAUCCACAAGUAAUCUAGAUCUAAGCACCACGCUUACACCUAUACUACAACUCUCACAUAUAGCGUCCUAUAGAUUAAAGUACUCAAAAGAGUUGUGAACCAGAACAUACAUAAUUAGUAAUUGCAUAAUGAAUUAGAACUAGAUUACCAGAGUCAUCCCAUGAGCAAGCUUGAUUAGAGCUUGAUCAUGACGAAGUACAACCGGUGGAAGAACCGACAGGCCGGCCUCUCCUCUAAUCCUCCUUCGCUCUCCAUCUUGCUACUAUCUAGAUCUACUCUAGUUUAGAGAAGAGAGGAGAGCUCUCAUCUCUAAACCCUAGCUUUUGCUCUGUCUAUGAAUAAUGAAUAAUGAUCAAGGGGUUGCCUCCUCCAGGGGCCAGGGGGUCUGGUUAUAUAGUCCCCUCAAGUGAACCUGGGCCGUCGGAUCAAACCGACAUUGAUUGAAUGGUUAUUCUUGAUCCUUUAGGUCGGUGGAAAUCUCCCGAGAAACAGAGUUUUGAUUGGACUCCAGAGGUGGGCGGUCGCCCAGGGGAACAGGGCGGGCGCCCUGCCUCUGGCCCCGUUUCGCCUCCGCUUCGGUCCCGUGGCUUCUGGAGUCAUCUAGAUGUAAGAUAAUUGCACGGCACGUUAAUAUCUCUAUGUAACCCCGACGUGUGGGCCUUUCUUCCGUAUUUCCUAAUAACCCCCUGCAGAAAUAGACAAACACCAAAACUCGUGAAAUUCUAUCAGAUAAAACCCUAAGUCUAGAUGUUGAUUUCAUUUGGAUCCUUUUCUUUGUUUAUUUGAUAAUUAAAUUUGAUACUUAAGGACCGUCAACAAACUCCCCCAAGCUUACCUCUUGCUCGUCCCUGAGCAAGGAUAGACUCAGCAAUGGAUCAGAAGUUGUUGCAAUGUCUUAAAAAUUUGACGGUACACAUGCUUUUAAAUAAGAUCUCAUCUCUGAGUUAGAGUAAACUGUCAAGAACUAAAACUUACUUACUUUACCUUUCACCAUGGGACUUGUAACCGUCACUUCUAUCUUGAGUAGUUAAAAGAUAGAACAGUCUAGCCAAGUGCCAUGUCUCUUAUUCUUGAUCAGCUAUAGCUCUGGAGUUUUUGUAGAUUUUCAAAUAAAACUCAGAGAUUCCUUGUAUGACUCUCUAAAUCUCUCUUUUGUGGUAUUUCUGGAUCCUUACCAAGGCAGUGAUGGUAUAUGCCUUCUCUCAAGAUAUGUGGUAUUUGUGGUAUAAGGCAUAGUGACAUUGCCUUCUCUCUCACCCUACUCUAAUAAGGCUUUAAUAUCUGGAGCUCAUAGGUGGGAGACAGCUAAUACAUACUUACAAGACAUUUAUUGCAUAGUCAAACCAUGGAUCCAGAUAAACAAGUCAAUAAGUCAAAUCAAGAUGUGCAUGUGUGACCAAUGAAUGGUGUAUGGUGAUGAUGGUGAUAACAAUGGUGGAAGUCUAAUUCUACUCUUGCUCUUUUGAGGGGAUACAUACCUUCCUUGCUUUUUGAAACUUUAUGAGGAGAAUGAGAUGCUCUAUCUUUCAUUUUUUUUCUUUCCUCUCAGGUGGGUAUCCUGUACCCCUAAUUCUACUGUCGGACACUUGUCCAUUUUUACCUCUCGUCUCACUCUCUUUUUUUUCUUUCGAGGUUCCGGGCACUUGCCCCUUUUUAUUUCCUCGUAUAUUUUUUUCUCUCCCUUCUCUUUUUUUAGAGCACUCAUCUCAUGAGAUAAUAUAGCAAGUGGUAGUAACAAGAUAACUUGAGCAUUUAUUUCAGAAGGAAAAACAGAAAUAUUUUUGGUUAUUCUCUCCCGGAUUAGGAGUAGAAUAUUUUUGGGUGGUUUUGGAGAUGGAAAUGAGUGGAUAUAUGUGGAUGGUACUUCCGGAGUAGAAGUAGCAUAUAUGAGUGAAUGUGCAAGUGAAAUCUUGAUUUAACCACAUGACAAGCUCCUAAGGGUCUACACAGCUUGACCACACUCAAUGCUCAUAAGCAGUAAAUAGUAAAUGUGUGGCUCAAAGUCUAGCAAGCAUGUAUAUAUGGCUGUGGUAGGAAUUUAAACUUUCAUCAUACAGGAACUCAUCAUGCAAUAUUUUAAAGAUUUUUCAAAGAUAAAAUUCUCCAGAAUUCUAGCAUCUCUAGGAACAGAUAAACAGCAGCUCAGCCUUCCAAUAUCAUAUCCGUUAACAACUUAGAUUUCAGAUCAAGGUUUCAUCCCACAAGUUUAGAUCUAGAGCAAGCUUUAAAUUAUAACAGUUAUGUCUAAACUUGAGAGAGAACUUCAAAUUUGCAAAUUAGGCAGAGCAACUAUUCAUCAUAUCCAUGCUAGAAUUUUAUUGUUAAGAUUCAGAUUAGCAUAGCCAAUUUAUUUAUUUAUUAAACACACUAAGCAAAAGAUAUAUAUAAGCACAAAAUCUUUAUUUGGUUUUUUAUAGUUUAUGUAUUUUAAUAUUCUAAUAUAAUAUAAGUAUAAAGAUAGGUAGAAAUACUUAGCGAGAUAAAUGGGGGUGCUCUCCCC